UACCUCCCAGCAUCGUGUCUGGAGAGUAGCUAGUAUUCUGUCAGCUUCAGAAAUGGGAGGGAAAGUAAGUUGGGCAGAGGCAUCAUUCUAUCCCCAGCUUGCUCAGUAGCUGGCAGUUGGAAGACACUCUGCAACUGUG
rnacentral:snoRNA from 1 species